GGAUGAACGCUGGCGGCGUGCUUAACACAUGCAAGUCGAACGAAGAUAUUUAGAAUGAGAGCUUCGGCAGGAUUUUUAUCUAUCUUAGUGGCGGACGGGUGAGUAACGUGUGGGCAACCUGCCCUGUACUGGGGAAUAAUCAUUGGAAACGAUGACUAAUACCGCAUGUGGUCCUCGGAAGGCAUCUUCUGAGGAAGAAAGGAUUUAUUCGGUACAGGAUGGGCCCGCAUCUGAUUAGCUAGUUGGUGAGAUAACAGCCCACCAAGGCGACGAUCAGUAGCCGACCUGAGAGGGUGAUCGGCCACAUUGGGACUGAGACACGGCCCAAACUCCUACGGGAGGCAGCAGUGGGGAAUAUUGCACAAUGGGCGAAAGCCUGAUGCAGCAACGCCGCGUGAAGGAUGAAGGGUUUCGGCUCGUAAACUUCUAUCAAUAGGGAAGAAACAAAUGACGGUACCUAAAUAAGAAGCCCCGGCUAACUACGUGCCAGCAGCCGCGGUAAUACGUAGGGGGCAAGCGUUAUCCGGAAUUACUGGGUGUAAAGGGAGCGUAGGCGGCAUGGUAAGCCAGAUGUGAAAGCCUUGGGCUUAACCCGAGGAUUGCAUUUGGAACUAUCAAGCUAGAGUACAGGAGAGGAAAGCGGAAUUCCUAGUGUAGCGGUGAAAUGCGUAGAUAUUAGGAAGAACACCAGUGGCGAAGGCGGCUUUCUGGACUGAAACUGACGCUGAGGCUCGAAAGCGUGGGGGAGCAAACAGGAUUAGAUACCCUGGUAGUCCACGCCGUAAACGAUGAGUGCUAGGUGUCGGGGAGGAAUCCUCGGUGCCGCAGCUAACGCAAUAAGCACUCCACCUGGGGAGUACGACCGCAAGGUUGAAACUCAAAGGAAUUGACGGGGGCCCGCACAAGCGGUGGAGCAUGUGGUUUAAUUCGAAGCAACGCGAAGAACCUUACCAAGGCUUGACAUCCCGAUGACCGUCCUAGAGAUAGGACUUCUCUUCGGAGCAUCGGUGACAGGUGGUGCAUGGUUGUCGUCAGCUCGUGUCGUGAGAUGUUGGGUUAAGUCCCGCAACGAGCGCAACCCUUAUCUUCAGUAGCCAUCAUUCAGUUGGGCACUCUGGAGAGACUGCCGUGGAUAACACGGAGGAAGGUGGGGAUAACGUCAAAUCAUCAUGCCCCUUAUGUCUUGGGCUACACACGUGCUACAAUGGCUGGUAACAAAGUGAUGCGAGACGGCGACGUUAAGCAAAUCACAAAAACCCAGUCCCAGUUCGGAUUGUAGUCUGCAACUCGACUACAUGAAGCUGGAAUCGCUAGUAAUCGCGAAUCAGCAUGUCGCGGUGAAUACGUUCCCGGGCCUUGUACACACCGCCCGUCACACCAUGGGAGUUGGAAGCACCCGAAGUCGGUGACCUAACCGUAAGGAAGGAGCCGCCGAAGGUG
rnacentral:rRNA from 1 species